UGAGGAAUAUUGGUCAAUGGGCGAGAGCCUGAACCAGCCAAGUAGCGUGAAGGAUGACUGCCCUAUGGAUUGUAAACUUCUUUUAUAAAGGAAUAAAGUCAGGUAUGUAUGCCUGUUUGCAUGUACUUUAUGAAUAAGGAUCGGCUAACUCCGUGCCAGCAGCCGCGGUAAUACGGAGGAUCCGAGCGUUAUCCGGAUUUAUUGGGUUUAAAGGGAGCGUAGACGGGCCGUUAAGUCAGCUGUGAAAGUUUGAGGCUCAACCGUAAAAUUGCAGUUGAUACUGGAUAUCUUGAGUGCAGUUGAGGCAGGCGGAAUUCGUGGUGUAGCGGUGAAAUGCUUAGAUAUCACGAAGAACUCCGAUUGCGAAGGCAGCCUGCUAAGCUGCAACUGACAUUGAGGCUCGAAAGUGUGGGUAUCAAACAGGAUUAGAUACCCUGGUAGUCCACACGGUAAACGAUGAAUACUCGCUGUUUGCGAUAUACUGCAAGCGGCCAAGCGAAAGCGUUAAGUAUUCCACCUGGGGAGUACGCCGGCAACGGUGAAACUCAAAGGAAUUGACGGGGGCCCGCACAAGCGGAGGAACAUGUGGUUUAAUUCGAUGAUACGCGAGGAACCUUACCCGGGCUUAAAUUGCAGAUGAAUUACGGUGAAAGCCGUAAGCCGCAAGGCAUCUGUGAAGGUGCUGCAUGGUUGUCGUCAGCUCGUGCCGUGAGGUGUCGGCUUAAGUGCCAUAACGAGCGCAACCCUUGUUGUCAGUUACUAACAGGUUUUGCUGAGGACUCUGACAAGACUGCCAUCGUAAGAUGUGAGGAAGGUGGGGAUGACGUCAAAUCAGCACGGCCCUUACGUCCGGGGCUACACACGUGUUACAAUGGGGGGUACAGAGGGCCGCUACCACGCGAGUGGAUGCCAAUCCCCAAAACCUCUCUCAGUUCGGACUGGAGUCUGCAACCCGACUCCACGAAGCUGGAUUCGCUAGUAAUCGCGCAUCAGCCACGGCGCGGUGAAUACGUUCCC
rnacentral:rRNA from 1 species